rnacentral:tRNA from 1 species
GCCUGGGUGGCUCAGUUGGUUGAGCACCAGACUUCGGCUCAGGUCAUGAUCUCAUGGUUUGUGGAUUCGAGCCCCACGUCAGGCU